rnacentral:rRNA from 1 species
GUUUGAUCCUGGCUCAGGAUGAACGCUGGCGGCGUGCCUAAUACAUGCAAGUCGAACGCUUCACUUCGGUGAAGAGUGGCGAACGGGUGAGUAAUACAUAAGUAACCUGGCAUCUACAGGGGGAUAACUGAUGGAAACGUCAGCUAAGACCGCAUAGGUGUAGAGAUCGCAUGAACUCUAUAUGAAAAGUGCUACGGGACUGGUAGAUGAUGGACUUAUGGCGCAUUAGCUUGUUGGUAGGGUAACGGCCUACCAAGGCGACGAUGCGUAGCCGACCUGAGAGGGUGAACGGCCACAUUGGAACUGAGACACGGUCCAGACUCCUACGGGAGGCAGCAGUAGGGAAUUUUCGGCAAUGGGGGAAACCCUGACCGAGCAACGCCGCGUGAAGGAAGAAGUAAUUCGUUAUGUAAACUUCUGUCAUAGAGGAAGAACGGUGGAUAUAGGGAAUGAUAUCCAAGUGACGGUACUCUAUAAGAAAGCCACGGCUAACUACGUGCCAGCAGCCGCGGUAAUACGUAGGUGGCGAGCGUUAUCCGGAAUUAUUGGGCGUAAAGAGGGAGCAGGCGGCACUAAGGGUCUGUGGUGAAAGAUCGAAGCUUAACUUCGGUAAGCCAUGGAAACCGUAGAGCUAGAGUGUGUGAGAGGAUCGUGGAAUUCCAUGUGUAGCGGUGAAAUGCGUAGAUAUAUGGAGGAACACCAGUGGCGAAGGCGACGAUCUGGCGCAUAACUGACGCUCAGUCCCGAAAGCGUGGGGAGCAAAUAGGAUUAGAUACCCUAGUAGUCCACGCCGUAAACGAUGAGUACUAAGUGUUGGGUGUCAAAGCUCAGUGCUGCAGUUAACGCAAUAAGUACUCCGCCUGAGUAGUACGUUCGCAAGAAUGAAACUCAAAGGAAUUGACGGGGG